GAUGAACGCUGGCGGCGUGCCUAAUACAUGCCAGUCGAGCGAGCGGACGAGAAGCUUGCUUCUCUGAUGUUAGCGGCGGACGGGUGAGUAACACGUGGAUAACCUACCUAUAAGACUGGGAUAACUUCGGGAAACCGGAGCUAAUACCGGAUAAUAUUUUGAACCGCAUGGUUCAAAAGUGAAAGACGGUCUUGCUGUCACUUAUAGAUGGAUCCGCGCUGCAUUAGCUAGUUGGUAAGGUAACGGCUUACCAAGGCAACGAUGCAUAGCCGACCUGAGAGGGUGAUCAGCCACACUGGAACUGAGACACGGUCCAGACUCCUACGGGAGGCAGCAGUAGGGAAUCUUCCGCAAUGGGCGAAAGCCUGACGGAGCAACGCCGCGUGAGUGAUGAAGGUCUUCGGAUCGUAAAACUCUGUUAUUAGGGAAGAACAUAUGUGUAAGUAACUGUGCACAUCUUGACGGUACCUAAUCAGAAAGCCACGGCUAACUACGUG
rnacentral:rRNA from 1 species